rnacentral:rRNA from 1 species
UACGGGGGGGGCAAGCGUUGUUCGGAAUUACUGGGCGUAAAGGGCUCGUAGGUGGUCAACUAAGUCGGACGUGAAAUCCCUCGGCUUAACCGGGGAACUGCGUCCGAUACUGGAUGACUUGAGUUCGGGAGAGGGAUGCGGAAUUCCAGGUGUAGCGGUGAAAUGCGUAGAUAUCUGGAGGAACACCGGUGGCGAAGGCGGCAUCCUGGACCGACACUGACGCUGAUGAGCGAAAGCUAGGGGAGCAAACGGG